UGGAGUGUGAAGGCCGGGGUGUAGCUUGCUGCAGUGGCUUAGUCAGCGCAGAGCCACGGGUGUGUGUUGCUGCUGCUGCUGCUCAAGUGAACCCACCCCUCUCCCCACAUCCCUAAAACUUGUUUGUGGGAACUUCGUCAUCAGACUAACCUCUCCCCCCUAGUGUUUUAUGCGUCUUACACGAGGAAUAUUUGCUUGUGUUCGUGAAUGUCUGAGAGGCUAGUCCUCAGUGUUUUCCGUAAAUAUUUGGUUCAAAACUUUGAAAGCGUGUUAAAACCUAUUGUUGUCAGGUUUUUAAAUGACAGCUAAGUGGAGAGGGGUAAGAACAGAAACCAUAGUGGGUUUCUGUAAGCCCUUUAAUAACGUAAUAACUUUUCAUUACCAAGACAUGGGUCCAGUCAUAGCUACAAGGAUCAUUAACGACUAGGAAAGUUCUUCACUGUCGUUCAUUCAGGGCUCUGUGUCUUGAAGACAGUCUCACUGGCACAGAAGUGAUCAGAAACCCUGAGAACAGAGCCCGCUGUAGUGAUCUGAAAUUAGUAACCAGUGAAGUGUACUUGAGAACAAAAAGAAAAGAGUUACAGCCGGUAUAGAGGUGGCAAAUAAUACAAGACACGUAAUAGGAACAAGAACAAAUCUUACUUUAAAAGUUGUGCAUAGUUACGGCAAUAGGCAUUCAUACGGUUGUUGCUGUUGCUGCUGUGGCAGCUGUUACUACUACUGCUACUUGUAAAUCAGAGUGCACACCGUAGCAGCCAUGCUAACGGUCGCCUUCGUUAUUGAACCGAUGCAGAAGGAGUCUGUCAUCGAGAGGGAGAUCCGCCUAGCCAGGGAACGAGAGGAAGCCUACAGGAGGGAGAAGGGCCUCACAGCUUCUAUCAACAGCUCGACUAGUCGUUCCUCUAGCCAGACUACGUUGGCACGGACGCCCCCUGUGGUCAACAAUGAUGGCCGGGAUGUCCAGCACCGUUUGGCUACCAAUAGGAUUCAGUUGGAGAUUCAAGAAACAAGCAUGAAGGAGAUGGAGCUUAGAGAUGCUGGAAAGAUCCUGACAAUGUCAGAGGACACAGUUGAUGCUAAAGUGACCCGCAUGUCAGAUUUUACUGACCAGAGCCAGAACGAGAGCCCACGGACACGUCCUGCUCCUUCCCGACUAAGCAACUUCAGCACACCUUCAUCUACCCCGAAACGUAGUCUGUCACCCCGCAGUCCGUCUUCUCCAAUUCCCAACUUUACCCCUUCCCCUGCAUUAACCAGAGGGCUCUCCAGGAGUCUAUCCACCAACAACCUGGCUAGUACUGGUACUUCAUCCCUCACCAACCCACGAGCACCCAAGGGACUCAUGCAGAAGUUUAUAGCUUCUCGGGGCAAGAUGACUGGCUCUGCAUUUGCAUCGCCUCCCCUUACCCACACCACAUCCACAUCCCGGGGCAUCCCCACCAGACCUAUGAGGGUCGAGCCAAAGGCAGCAGUUAUACAGCGUGAAACUUUGGCUAGAAUGAAACCACAACCAGUGGACAGUAACAUAAUUCAGGAUAACACGUCACAGUCUCAAAAACCGACCAAUCACAUUCAGCAACAGUAUCGUCGCUCAUACUGCACAGCAGAAGAAAAGAUACAGUCGGAGCUAAAGGAAAUGCAAAUGCGAGAAGAGGAAUUAAGGCAGCUACGUGCCUGCCAGAUGGCUCAGUCACAACCAAAUCUAAUGGAUUUGGAUGCUGAGGAAGAUGAACAUGAGGAAGUGGAAAGUAAUCACAGUUAUCAAGAGAUGAAUGGCCUCCGUACCACCUACUCAAACCCUAACCUCCUUGAUGAUGAGCCAACACAAACACAGCCAUCAUCACCGGAAAAGAUUGUUUGGGUUUAAGCAGGUCAUGGAUAAAGGGAUGAGGCGACGUAGUGCCUUAAUUGCUCAAUGGGAAAAUCUCAUCCAGCAGACCACUGACACCUGAGCCUGCAUUCUUGAAGCAUUUGGUGCUUGUGAGAGCAAGUUAUGCCAUAUGCCAACAGCAGGCCAGAUAGUCCUUGGCAGCCAUAAGGGUCACCAUCUUGCAGCUCUACAUAGAUAUUUUAUUCCUAUAUUAACCAUGCCAGAAAGGCCGCAGUUAGCUGUUUCCCUUGUCCAUUAGUGUAUUUUGGUAUUAGUAUGAUUUAUUUGCUGCCAGGAUAAUAAAUUCUUCAAGAACAAACUUUGUCUGGCUGCUGCUGUGGUCAUUCUUGUGAUUAUAGUGUGAUAUAGUAAUGCUAAUACACUUAAGUAUAGUUAUUAAAUAAUAUAUAAUUAUCAUGGCUAGGGUAGUGGAGAAAGUUCACUUGAUGUAUUCUAAAUAAUCUUAUUGACACGAACAGAUCCCUCCCUCAUUCUUCACUUUUAUGAAGGACACUAUACACAGUUUAUAGUUACUGUGCUUCCUAUAAUGCUGUAAUUAUUGUAUGCAUAAUUUAGCAUGUGUGUGCUUCCUAGUUGUGGAUGUUGUCUGCAAGCAGAAUAAUUUAUGUGACAGGAGAUUGGGGCCUCUUAGUCUUCAUGUAUAUAUGUAGAUUAUGCAAUGUUUUUAUUUAGUACUUAAAUCCUACAAGAGCAUAUGAAUUAUGCUAUUGCAGCUGCAUAUUUGUAUUGUUAAUUAAUAAUCCUUUGUAUGUUAUUUUAGGAAUAACGUAUGAGUAAGGUUAAUAUUGUAUGUACCCUUUGGCAAGUCUGCAGGCAAUGUGUCAAGCAGCAGCCUUUAGCCCAAGUGUAUCAUGUUGCACAAAUAAAAGCUUAUAAUAAAA